rnacentral:lncRNA from 1 species
UCUAAGCUUGGGGAUGUCUCGGAAGGCACCCCCUUUUUGUCUCAAUCUGUCGCUAUGUCACUUGGAGCUACAUUUUUAUUCAUAACAUCAUAUGAUUUUUGCUUAGAGCGUCGUUUGCUAUUGCUUAUUUUUACUUUAAGUUUGCCACAAUCAUGAUUUUGUGGACACACUUAUUUCACAGAUAUACCACAUCAUCAUAAUUUGUUAGAAUACUAUAUGUGCUUCACUUAUAUCUUUUGAGCUUAGCAGUUGCUCUAGUACUUCAUUUAUAUCUUUUUGAGCAUGGUGGCGUGUAGAUUUUAUAGAAAUAAUAUGAUCUUGUUCUUCACUUAUAUUUGUUU